rnacentral:rRNA from 1 species
UACGGAGGGGGCUAGCGUUGUUCGGAAUUACUGGGCGUAAAGCGCACGUAGGCGGACUGUUAAGUCGGGGGUGAAAUCCUGGGGCUCAACCUCAGAAUUGCCUCCGAUACUGGCAGUCUCGAGUGCGGGAGAGGUGAGUGGAAUUCCCAGUGUAGAGGUGAAAUUCGUAGAUAUUGGGAAGAACACCAGUGGCGAAGGCGGCUCACUGGGCCCGUAACUGACGC